AUAUGUAUUUGUUGCUGCAAAUCAAUGGCUUAUUGAAUUCUGUUUUUGGCUGCAGUUUUUCUCAUCAAAUGGUUUUCCUUGCCCAAGUCUCUAAUUUACAAUGUUCUCUUUGCCUCGUGCUCUCUCCUACCAGGGAGCUAGCUCAACAAGUAUGCUUCUUAUCUUUUAAUGCAUAGGUUGUUGUUUCAUUGAUUUUAGGCUCUUUAUCUUCAAAACCAGUGUCGC
rnacentral:lncRNA from 1 species